UUCGUUGGGCGCGCUUCUUCGCGCAAAUAUUUUUAUAUUUUCCAUCUCUCAAGAAAAGAUACACUACAAAAAGCAUACACAAGACAAUUUUUUUCUUUCUUCUUACUGGCAAAAUUUCAUUUCACUCGUUUUAUUUCACUUUGCCAAAAAAUCACAAAAAAAUCCGAUUUUUUCAYGACGACGACAACGACGGUGUUGUGUUUGUUGUUGCAAUCGACACGACUGUUCCUUGGCGCGUUUCUUUGCGUUGCUUGCGUUUACCGGCAGGCAGUAUCUCGACUUUUGUACUGACUUUUGGUUUGGUCUGGAGAAGAAUGCGAGACAAUUUUCGGUGCUUUUUGACUGUUUGGAACCUUUUUAAUAAUUACGUUGAAACGUUGUUGAUUCUUAUUAAAUAUUGUUUUGUUGAAUCUGAGGACGAACAAAAACAAAAACAACUCCCAAUCAAAGUCAAGGAAACCAAACAUAUGGCAAGACAACUCUAGGACAAACAACAAAAAAGGAAUACCUAAACCAAAAAAAGAAAAAAAAAA